rnacentral:rRNA from 1 species
UACGAAGGGUGCAAACGUUGCUCGGAAUCAUUGGGCGUAAAGCGCACGUAGGCGGCCUCAUAAGUCGGAUGUGAAAUCCCUCGGCUCAACCGAGGACGUGCAUUCGAAACUGCGAGGCUCGAGUAUGGAAGAGGGUCGCGGAAUUCCCGGUGUAGAGGUGAAAUUCGUAGAUAUCGGGAGGAACACCAGUGGCGAAGGCGGCGACCUGGGCCAACACUGACACUGAUGAGCGAAAGCCAGGGGAGCAAACGGG